UAAGGCCUAGUGAUUACAUCAACUCCACAAGGUAGAUUCGUCUACUGGCCUAACAUGAAGCCACCUGCUCUCACCAAGGAUGACGAGUCACGCCUUAUCACCUACCUUGAUACCCUCCCAUACUAGGAGGGAACUCCCCUGUCGCCUAUCUAUGAAGAAGAUGACUCCACAGAGGUUAUCACGUCAAGUUUGGGAAGCUAUUCUCCGGAGCGGGAACUCUUCGCCCUUCUUGCUGCCCAAGAAGACGAAGAUGAAGAGCAACCAGAAAGGAAUCGACGACAUGAAUGCCACCCAUAUGAACUCUCGCAGGAUGAUCUCACCUACCAAGCGUGAACUUGGAUCAUGUGUUUGAAGCAGUUCAAUCGUGUCAACACAUUACUCCUCUCGCCACUGUAGUGUCCAUUGAUCUGAUUACUCGGGCACAAAACAAGUACACUAGACAAUUGGCUAAGCUAGCGGAGCGCUCGUACGAGCAACUUGAUUAGCAAAACCCAAUACAUUCAGUUCCUC
rnacentral:lncRNA from 1 species